GGGGAUGUUAUAAAAUCGAUAGAAUGUUCAUUGCAAAGCUGGCAAUCCGGAGUUUAGAUCUCCGUCAUCAAAUCUAACAAAAAGAUAAGUGCCAAAUCACUUAUGGCCAAAGUUAAGAAUGCUUUUGCAUCACUUAGCUUGGCACCUGCAGUAGCCUAAAACCUAUUGCCAUCCGUUUUGUUGAUGCUCGAUGGACAAAAACGGGUGCCACAUUAUCGAGCUUACUGACUUGUUUGCCCCGAAUAGGUCAGAAAAUACUCUGGGGAUAGAUUCUGGAAGUUUCGUUUGUUUUUUAUGCCAGAAUUGAAAUUCAAAGCAAACUAAGUUUGUAGAUAGUUUUGUAGUGGUUUUCUAGACAGGGGUGAAAGGCCCCUCAUCUCCACCA
rnacentral:tmRNA from 1 species